rnacentral:rRNA from 1 species
AGUGAACGCUGGCGGUAGGCCUAACACAUGCAAGUCGAACGGCAGCACAGGGGAGCUUGCUCCCUGGGUGGCGAGUGGCGGACGGGUGAGGAAUACAUCGGAAUCUACUCUGUCGUGGGGGAUAACGUAGGGAAACUUACGCUAAUACCGCAUACGACCUACGGGUGAAAGUGGGGGACCGCAAGGCCUCACGCGAUUGAAUGAGCCGAUGUCGGAUUAGCUAGUUGGCGGGGUAAAGGCCCACCAAGGCGACGAUCCGUAGCUGGUCUGAGAGGAUGAUCAGCCACACUGGAACUGAGACACGGUCCAGACUCCUACGGGAGGCAGCAGUGGGGAAUAUUGGACAAUGGGCGCAAGCCUGAUCCAGCCAUACCGCGUGGGUGAAGAAGGCCUUCGGGUUGUAAAGCCCUUUUGUUGGGAAAGAAAUCCAGCUGGCUAAUACCCGGUUGGGAUGACGGUACCCAAAGAAUAAGCACCGGCUAACUUCGUGCCAGCCGCCGCUGUAA